rnacentral:rRNA from 1 species
UACGGGGGGAGCAAGCGUUGUUCGGAUUUACUGGGCGUAAAGGGCGCGUAGGCGGCCACCGCAAGUCAGUUGUGAAAUCUCUGGGCUUAACCCAGAAAGGUCAACUGAUACUGCGGGGCUAGAGUGCAGAAGGGGCAACUGGAAUUCUCGGUGUAGCGGUGAAAUGCGUAGAUAUCGGGAGGAACACCUGCGGCGAAGGCGGGUUGCUGGGCUGACACUGACGCUGAUGCGCGAAAGCUAGGGGAGCGAACGGG